GGUGAAAAGCACCCCGGAAGGGGAGUGAAAUAGAACCUGAAACCGUGUGCUUACAAGUAGUCAGAGCCCGUUAAUGGGUGAUGGCGUGCCUUUUGUAGAAUGAACCGGCGAGUUACGAUUUGAUGCAAGGUUAAGCAGUAAAUGUGGAGCCGUAGCGAAAGCGAGUCUGAAUAGGGCGUUUAGUAUUUGGUCGUAGACCCGAAACCAGGUGAUCUACCCUUGGUCAGGUUGAAGUUCAGGUAACACUGAAUGGAGGACCGAACCGACUUACGUUGAAAAGUGAGCGGAUGAACUGAGGGUAGCGGAGAAAUUCCAAUCGAACCUGGAGAUAGCUGGUUCUCUCCGAAAUAGCUUUAGGGCUAGCCUCAAGUGAUGAUUAUUGGAGGUAGAGCACUGUUUGGACGAGGGGCCCCUCUCGGGUUACCGAAUUCAGACAAACUCCGAAUGCCAAUUAAUUUAACUUGGGAGUCAGAACAUGGGUGAUAAGGUCCGUGUUCGAAAGGGAAACAGCCCAGACCACCAGCUAAGGUCCCAAAAUAUAUGUUAAGUGGAAAAGGAUGUGGCGUUGCCCAGACAACUAGGAUGUUGGCUUAGAAGCGGCCAUCAUUUAAAGAGUGCGUAAUAGCUCACUAGUCGAGUGACACUGCGCCGAAAAUGUACCGGGGCUAAACAUAUUACCGAAGCUGUGG
rnacentral:rRNA from 1 species